ACUGCUGAUUUCAAGACUCCUCUUUUGGGCUGAGGGACUUCGAUUUGAAACUUUUUGGAGUGUGAAACGCCAAGGCAGGCUAACAAUUUCCAAUCAUAGAUUCUGGACGGUGGACAGCACAAUCCGGUUGGAUUUGGACACUGGAAUAUGCUAUGGGCUCCAUUUGUGGGCUCACAUCUUCACUUUUUUUCUGCUUUUUGCCCUUUUUCAACCACACUAUAUUAUGAGAUAAUAAUUUCUUAUUCAAAGUCCCCCAA
rnacentral:misc_RNA from 1 species